GGGCAUACCCGUAGACCUUGUCUGACUGUACUCAUGGCCAGACAGGGGGGACAGUGUAUGCAAGAGUAAUUUGGAGUUCAUGCAUGCUCUACCCUGCUUAAUUAGUGGCUGGAUAUAUUGCAGUACUCCAACACUC